rnacentral:rRNA from 1 species
AGUGAACGCUGGCGGCAGGCCUAAUACAUGCAAGUCGAACGGCAGCACAGCAGAGCUUGCUCUGUGGGUGGCGAGUGGCGGACGGGUGAGGAAUACAUGGGAAUCUGCCCAGUCGUGGGGGAUAACGUAGGGAAACUUACGCUAAUACCGCAUGCGCCCUUCGGGGGAAAGCCGGGGACCUUCGGGCCUGGCGCGAUUGGAUGAGCCCAUGUCGGAUUAGCUAGUUGGCGGGGUAACGGCCCACCAAGGCGACGAUCCGUAGCUGGUCUGAGAGGAUGAUCAGCCACACUGGAACUGAGACACGGUCCAGACUCCUACGGGAGGCAGCAGUAGGGAAUAUUGGACAAUGGGCGCAAGCCUGAUCCAGCCAUGCCGCGUGAGUGAAGAAGGCCCUCGGGUUGUAAAGCUCUUUUGUCCGGAAAGAAAAGCACUGGGUUAAUACCCCGGUGUCCUGACGGUACCGGAAGAAUAAGCACCGGCUAACUUCGUGCCAGCCGCCGCAGUAACAC